UUGUGGUAGAUGUCGGUUGUGAUUUGUGUUAUUAGGUGAUUUGGUUAUUAGGUGAAAAACACCUAAUAACCAAAUCACAACCAACAUCUACCACAA
rnacentral:pre_miRNA from 1 species